GAUGAAGAACGUAGCGAAAUGCGAUAAGUAAUGUGAAUUGCAGAAUUCAGUGAAUCAUCGAAUCUUUGAACGCACAUUGCGCCCGUUAGCAUUCUAGCGGGCAUGCCUGUCCGAGCGUCAUUUCAACCCUCAGGGUCCCCGUUCCGGCGGGGAACCUGGUGUUGGGGAUCGGCCCGCCCCGUGCGGCGCCGUCCCCCAAAUUCAGUGGCGGUCUCGCUGCAGCCUCCCCUGCGUAGUAGUUACAACCUCGCAUCGGAGCUCAGCGCGGCCACGCCGUAAAACCCCCGCCUUUCUGAACGUUGACCUCGGAUCAGGUAGGAAUACCCGCUGAACUUAAGCAUAUCAAUAAGCGGAGGA
rnacentral:misc_RNA from 1 species